GCCUGGUGGCCAAAGCGAGCGGGAACCACCCGAUCCCAUCCCGACCUCGGAAGUGAAACCGCUCAGCGCCGAUGAUAGUGCAGUUCCCUGUGCGAAAGUAGGUCACCGCCAGGC
rnacentral:rRNA from 1 species